rnacentral:rRNA from 1 species
CCUACGGGAGGCAGCAGUGGGGAAUAUUGCACAAUGGGCGAAACCCUGAUGCAGCGACGCCGCGUGAGCGAAGAUGGCCCUCGGUAUGUAAAGCUCUAUCAGCAGGGGAGAAAAUGACGUUACCUGUCUAUGAAUCCCCGGCCAAAUACGUGCCAGCAGCCGCGGUAAUACGGAGGGGGCAAGCGUUAUCCGGAAUUACUGGGUGUAAAGGGAGCGCAGGCGGCGCGGUAAGUCUGAUGUGAAAGCACAGGGCUCAACCCCGGGACUGCAUUGGAAACUGUCGUGCUGGAGUGUGGGAGGGGGAAGUGGAAUUCCUAGUGUAGCGGUGAAAUGCGUAGAGAUUAGGAGGAACACCAGUGGCGAAGGCGGCUUGCUGGAAGACAACUGACGCGGAGGCUCGAAAGCGUGGGGAGCAAACAGGAUUAGAUACCCGGGUAGUC